rnacentral:rRNA from 1 species
AAUAGAUACCCCGGUAGUCCACGCCGUAAACGUUGGGCGCUAGAUGUGGGGGCCAUUCCACGGUUUCCGCGUCGUAGCUAACGCAUUAAGCGCCCCGCCUGGGGAGUACGGCCGCAAGGCUAAAACUCAAAGGAAUUGACGGGGGCCCGCACAAGCGGCGGAGCAUGCGGAUUAAUUCGAUGCAACGCGAAGAACCUUACCAAGGCUUGACAUAUACGAGAACACUGCAGAAAUGUAGGACUCUUUGGACACUCGUAUACAGGUGGUGCAUGGUUGUCGUCAGCUCGUGUCGUGAGAUGUUGGGUUAAGUCCCGCAACGAGCGCAACCCUCGUCGCAUGUUGCCAGCACGUAAAGGUGGGAACUCAUGUGAGACUGCCGGGGUCAACUCGGAGGAAGGUGGGGAUGACGUCAAAUCAUCAUGCCCCUUAUGUCUUGGGCUUCACGCAUGCUACAAUGGCCGGUACAAAGGGCUGCAAUCCGUAAGGUGGAGCGAAUCCCAAAAAGCCGGUCUCAGUUCGGA